GUAGAACAUGAGACUUGCUUAUGAGCAAGAGAAAAUGCAAAGGUGCGGUGAACUCACAAGUGUGGUUAAUGUGCUACAUGAGAGGCAAGUUUUUCACGAACACCACAAGGGUCACUGGCCCCGUGAGUGAAGUUUCAUAGUAAUCCUUGCUACAAGU